rnacentral:tRNA from 1 species
GCGGUCGUGGUGGAACUGGCAGACACGUACGUUUGAGGGGCGUAUGCGAAAGCAUGUGGGUUCAAGUCCCACCGUCCGCACCA